UACGUAGGUGGCGAGCGUUGUCCGGAUUUACUGGGCGUAAAGGAUGCGUAGGUGGAAAUUUAAGUGGGAUGUGAAAUCCCCGGGCUCAACCCGGGAACUGCAUUCCAAACUGGAUUUCUUGAGUACAGGAGAGGAAAGCGGAAUUCCUAGUGUAGCGGUGAAAUGCGUAGAUAUUAGGAGGAACACCAGUGGCGAAGGCGGCUUUCUGGACUGUAACUGACACUGAGGCAUGAAAGCAUGGGUAGCAAACAGGAUUAGAUACCCCGGUAGUCCCUGA
rnacentral:rRNA from 1 species